rnacentral:rRNA from 1 species
UGAGGAAUAUUGGUCAAUGGGGGCAACCCUGAACCAGCCAAGUCGCGUGAAGGAUGAAGGUCUUAUGGAUUGUAAACUUCUUUUACACGGGAAUAAAGCGGGGGACGUGUCCCUCUUUGCAUGUACCGUGUGAAUAAGGAUCGGCUAACUCCGUGCCAGCAGCCGCGGUAAUACGGAGGAUCCGAGCGUUAUCCGGAUUUAUUGGGUUUAAAGGGUGCGCAGGCGGGAUGUUAAGUCGGCGGUGAAAUUUUGCAGCUCAACUGUAAAAGUGCCUUCGAUACUGGCCUUCUUGAGUGUGGAUGAAGUAGGCGGAAUUUGUGGUGCAGCGGUGAAAUGCUUAGAUAUCACGAGGAGCUCCGAUUGCGCAGGCAGCUUACUAAGCCACAACUGACGCUCAUGCACGAAGGCGUGGGGAUCAAACA